GUACUAAUUACAUUAAUAAUAAUUGACAUCAGUGAGCUUUGGAUCAACCUCUGACGGAAUACAUUUACAUCUCGUUAGUUCCCCUGAUGGAGUUAUGCUUCUGCUUCUUCUACAGACACAGGGGGACUGCAGGAGGAUCUGCCUGUCCAGCCACAGUGGGUCCUCUGGCCUGGAUGUGGGGAGCGAUGCGAUGCCAGGAGCUCCUUUGAGCUGGCUGGAGGAGAGCUCAGUUUCCAGUGGAUCUGUGCCGUGAUGCUGACAGAUUUUGCUGUCUACAAGGUGAAUACUGCAGACUCACCACGGUGCUCACCUGUUGAAAACUGCCAACCAUUGAUCACACUUCCAGCCACUUUCCCCUUCUACCAAAAACCUUUGGACCAUUUGGCUGAUUGCAGCCAAGCUGGGAAGAGGAAUGGAAUUCAUGGAGGCAGCUUCCAGGUUCAUCAGAACAGGUCCCUCUGCAGAUGAGAUGCCAGAGAUCCCAUGGAGGCGAGGAGGACCAAGUGUCUUUCUAGAUGCAUGUUGAAAUAGAGGACAAGUUCUGAACAGAGAAGCAUUUUUCAGUACGCCUGUGCAGAGCCCAGUGAAACACACUUCUGAUAUCAGGUGACUGCUGUAAGUAACAGCUAUAUAGACCGCUGGCUCAAUCCGUUCUCAUACAACAGGAAUUUUCCUGCUUUGCCUUUUUUUAAUCAGUAAUUCAAAAAGAUACUUCCCUGGAAUUGCUGUAAUCACUGAAAAUGACUGAUCUGUCCUCAUCAGUAUUUCUUUUCCUCCUCUUUUCUGAACGCUUCUCCCUGUAGUGCUGGUAAUGCUCGUCUGUAUGCAGCUUUCCUUACAUUUUGGCAGGCAUGGGGGAUUUCAGCAGCAGUAAAUUUGAAUGGAUAGAAUUAAGAAGGAAGACAGCUUGCUGGAACACAGAGCAAGGCUUUUUUGGGUAUUUUUUUUCUUUUUCUUUUGUUUUUCCUAGAUAUAUCAUCUAUGAAUUCUCACCUGGGACUGCUUUUACAUAGAAAAAAAAUCAUGUGCCUAAAUGUCUAUCGGCU
rnacentral:lncRNA from 1 species